GUCGGAAUCGCUAGUAAUCGCGAGUCAGCAUAUCGCGGUGAAUACGUUCCCGGGUCUUGUACACACCGCCCGUCACACCAUGGGAGUUGGCAACACCCAAGUCGAUGAGCUAACCGCAAGGAGGCAGUCGCCUAAGGUGGGGUUGAUAACUGGGGUGAAGUCGUAACAAGGUACC
rnacentral:rRNA from 1 species